AUUGCUUCUCGACCUUUUGGCUAAGAUAAAGUGUAGUAUCUGUUCUUAUCAGUAGUUUAGUCUCUGCCAUUGAUGUAGGAUGGAUGCUUCAUGGAGGAGCAGGUGUUCCCGUGGCUGGUGCCACGAAACCAGCUCAACGGCUGCCCUGAUGUGACCUGUUUUCCGCCGGGUCUCGCCAUGAGGUU